rnacentral:rRNA from 1 species
CAAUAGCGUAUAUUAAAGUUGUUGCAGUUAAAAAGCUCGUAGUUGGAUUUCUGGUAGGAGCGACCGUGCCGAACUUGAUUGUUCGAGUAUUGUGUUGUCUUCAGCCAUCCUCGUGGAGAACUUUUCUAACAUUAACUUGUUGGGAUUGGGACCCGCGUCGUUUACUGUGAAAAAAUUAGAGUGUUUAAAGCAGGCAUUAGCUUGAAUACAUUAGCAUGGAAUAAUAAGAUAGGACUUUGGUACUAUUUUGUUGGUUUGCAUACCAAAUUAAUGAUCAACAGGAACAGUUUGAGGAUAUUCGUAUGAACGUGUCAGAGGUGAAAUUCUUGGAUUUUGAUCAGACGAACUACUGCGAAAGCAUUUAUCAAGGAUGUUUUCAUUAA